rnacentral:lncRNA from 1 species
GGAAGGAAAAGUCACUGUGGACCUACAGUCUUUGGAGAAGGUAACACCGCCAUGCCAGGUCACGCUGCGGACAGGCUCGGCAUACGGAUCCACACCAAUCGCGCUCAAGACAGUUCUUGAAGAUCGGAUUUGGGACCUGCGAGCUGUAGAAGCUGCCAGUGAGCUGGGCGGAUCCCAUUCCAUUCAAACCUAAAUCUCCCACUGAGACUUCAGCCCAAAGUAGGGCCUUCUGAGCCCAACGGGGAAACCUGUUUGCACAUGCCCACACAUUCCAGACACCAGGCCAUGGUGACGUGUCUGCAUUAAGAACUUCCCUCGCUCAAAAAUGAGCCUCUGAGAAAGUUAACAGAGAGCUCAGACGUCGAUGAGGGAGGCUAAGGAG